ensembl:lncRNA
CAAACGUGCAACCGAUUAAGCCGCGAUGAGCGGAUCACGCUAAGUCAAGCUGCGCUUUUUCAGGUUCCUCCCCAUAUUGGAGUGAUUAGUCAUUUGAGUAUAAAGAGUGCUGAGAGUGUAGUCAGGGUCCAGUACAUCAGUAUGGAGAAAGCUGUGUGGCUACUGGCUCUUCUGUGUCUGCAGGUCUGUCUGCUCUCCACAGAGGCCCACCCUGGAACAGACAGACUGACAGCUGCCCAAACAAACCAAGACAUGAUGGACACACUGAAGAGAAAUAAGAAGAUAUUCGGGGGAUGCAGCCGUAAGCGUCCAGGAAGUUGUUCCCUGAUGUCAUCCCCGCCAGGACCCCAGAUCCACAUCAAUGUAAAGGAAGCUGUUACUGAGAUCCCAGUCUUCUAACUCUGAGAGAAACCCAGCACUGUAAAAAAUAUAUCUACAGCAUGGCCAGAAAUUGAAUAAAACAUGAAGUUAUGUACCUUCAUUAACGUAUUCACAAAAAAAUAUAUACAAUUCUUUAAACUAAUACAUAUAUAAAAAUGUUCUUAAUGUCUAUAAUGUCUAUCUGAUAUAUACAUGUAUUUACACUAAUACAUAUGUAUCUAAAUGUCUUUACACUAGUAUGUAUAUAUCUAAAUGUCUUUACACUGAUACAUGCAUCUAAAUGUCUUUGCACUAAUAUACACGUAUCUAAAUGUCUUUACACUAACACAUGCAUGUAAAUGUCUUUCCAAAAAUAUAAAAUGUGUGAAAUAAAGACAUUUUUCACAUUAUU